rnacentral:rRNA from 1 species
CCCGGCGACCGGCGCACGGGUGAGUAACACGUAUGCAACCUGGCCGUGACAGAUGGAUAACCGGGAGAAAUCCCGCCUAAUACAGCAUGACGCCGCGGGAGGACAUCCUCCCGCGGCCAAAGGGGCGACCCGGUCACGGAUGGGCAUGCGGCGCAUUAGGUAGUUGGUGGGGCAACGGCCCACCAAGCCGACGAUGCGUAGGGGUUCUGAGAGGAAGGUCCCCCACAUUGGAACUGAGACACGGUCCAAACUCCUACGGAAGGCAGCAG